rnacentral:rRNA from 1 species
UAGGGAAUCUUCCACAAUGGACGCAAGUCUGAUGGAGCAACGUCGCGUGAGUGAAGAAGGUCUUCGGAUCGUAAAACUCUGUUGUUAGAGAAGAACACGAGUGAGAGUAACUGUUCAUUCGAUGACGGUAUCUAACCAGCAAGUCACGGCUAACUACGUGCCAG